AAGCAAAUACAUGUAAAGUACUUAAUCCUCUUUAUUACCUUAUAAUUUAGUAAAUAUUUCUCAUAGAAGAGAGGUAUAGAACAAUAAAUUUUAUGUAAAAUACGUAUAGUUUAGUUUCAGAAAAAGUUAUGAAAACGAUGGGUGUGCUUCGUAGAUUUAUGUUUAUUAUCUUCGGAAUAUUAUUCAUUGUGUUUGGUACUCGCUCAGAAUGUGUGACUUCAAAAGGAAUACAGUGUGUUAACAAAACAACGUACCAAGAAUGCUGGUCUGUUCUACUUGUUCCUGUUUAUGGAGACAUAUUUAACUGUCCAAAUAAGACAACUUGUUCUGAAGAUGUUGGCUCUGAUAUAUGCGUUGCGGUUCCAAAGACGUGGUGGUGUUGGAUUACGUUCUUUCUGUGUUAACCACAAGACGAUCUACUCAUAAUUUAGUAAUAACAAUGUUUACAGUAUAUUUUUAAGGGGUCUACAAUGGACAUAAUUGCAAAAAUACAAAUAGGUAUCUGUUGUUGAAAAAUAUUUACUAAUUUACUUACUAAAAUUUACUAUAAUAAAUGUAUAUAAAAUAUCUUUAAAAUAAUACUUGAAAACAAAUAAUUUUGUAAUAAUCCAUUAGGAUAUAGGUUAUAAAUAAUUUUAAGAUUAUAAAUAAUUUAAAUUGUAAAUAAUAUGUGAAGUUAAAAAUACCCACUUAAUAAAUGUAAUUACUUUAAAUCAUACUGUACAUACAUUUGUUAUUUAAUUAUAUAAACCCAAGGAUUAAUAUAGAGAUAAAACAUA